UAGGGAAUAUUGCACAAUGGGCGAAAGCCUGAUGCAGCAACGCCGCGUGCGCGAUGAAGGCCUUCGGGUCGUAAAGCGCUUUUCGGGGAGAUGAGGAAGGACAGUAUCCCCGGAAUAAGGCUCGGCUAACUACGUGCCAGCAGCCGCGGUAAAACGUAGGAGCCAAGCGUUAUCCGAAUUCACUGGGCGUAAAGCGCGUGCAGGCGGCAUGAUAAGUUGGAUGUGAAAUCUCCUGGCUCAACUGGGAGGGGACGUUCAAUACUGUCA
rnacentral:rRNA from 1 species